rnacentral:lncRNA from 1 species
UUAAAAUCCAAUAAAACCCAUUUCAAACCCUAAAAAUUAUUCUAUUUCAAAUGCAGCCACAGCAACCAGUCCAUUCCCCGCUCCUCACGCCGAGAACCAGCAAGAAUCCCGACGGCGUGCCUCUACUGGUAAGAAACUUCUCUUUUUCCCUCGUUAUUUCGUUUAUUUGUUUUAAAAAACAAGGAAGAAAAUAAAAAAGGAACAAAACAGUAAAGAGAAAGGAAAAACGGAACCCACUCAAUACCUUCAAAAUUGUUUUUUUUUAUUCUCUGUUUUUCUGUUUUCUUCAAUACUUUUCAACACAUCCUCCCCCCACUUUUACAAAAUCGAUUGGCUUUUAUAGCCACUCUUUACAGAAGCAAAACACUCAACCCCCCCCCCCCUUUUUCUCUCUUCUAUAAUACUGUUCUUGGUUCAUUUGUAGGAUGAACAUGCAUGGUGGAUGCGAGGAAUCGCUGAACGUGGGGUGAUGGGGCCGUUGCUGCAAAUGGAGAACGUGCGAGCGGCGCGAUCUGCGGUUUCUACUUCCAUUGCUACUGAAAACAUGUUGUGGGCUAGGGUUAAUUUUGGGCCAAUUGGGCCAAAUGUAUUUGGGAUGUUGGUUUUUAGCCAGGCCAAAAUUGGCCUAUUACAAACAUAAUUUUAUAUUCAAGAUUGAACAGAAACAUUAUUAAUAGGGAUAAAUGUCAAAACUACAUAUGAACUUUGGUUUUAUGUGUAAUUUUAUACCACAACUUUGAUUUUGUGCAAACAUGAAAUUUUGAUUUGAUCAAAUUCUCACAAACUAUUAACACAAUUACUGAUAUAACAUAAUUUUGUGUUUAUUGCAAUAAUUAUAUUUAUCCAAUAUAAAAAUAAAUUGAUGUAUUUAUUUAUUUAUUUAAAUGUGUAUAAUUGAAUCAAUGUUAAAGUUUUAUGUAUACAUUUGAGCCAUAACCAAAGUUUCAUGUGUUCAAUUGAACCAACUUAAAGUUUAUAUAUAAUUUUGAGAUUUAUCUCUUAUUAAUAAAAUAAAUAUAUUAUAUUAUUGAUUUUGUAGAUUUAAAAAAUUACGAGAAACAUAGAUAAGACAAAGUAUUAAUUCUUUAUUAAUCGAAUUUUUUAUCUUAAUUUUUCAAAUAAAUAUGAGUUAUACUAUUUGUCGAGUUGAGAUUUCUGUUGAACCAAACGAUUUGAUUAGACCCAAUUAACAUUCAUAAAAAAAUUAAUAUUUAAUUUAAUUAUAAAAUAUAUUUAAUUUCUUUUGCCUCUUGACAUAAAAAUUAAGAAUAAAUAAACAAAAUUAUAGAUUAUAGAUUAGAUUACCAAUAUAUUAAUAUUAUUAUUUAUAUAUAUAAUAUUAAUCUCACACAUUUAAUUUUUAUUAAUUAUAAAAAUAAUUUUAACAUUAUUAAUUAUUAUCAUACUUAAAAUAAAAUCAUAUUUAUAUAUAAAUUUUAUAUUUAUUUAAUAAAAAAUUUGGGUUUUUUUUAUUUUUUAAUUUAUCCGAUUAUAUUAAAUGAUUGCAUAGAUUUAUAAUUUUAUAAAUUGAUAAUAUAUUAUAUUAUUUUUUAACUAGAGCUUUUAAAAUAUAUGAUCAAAUUAAUUAAUUUUACAUUAAUAUACUAUCAUUUUAAAUAAUAUUAUUUUUAUUAUUGUCCCAUAAUAAUAUUAAUAAAUUAUAAUUCUAAUGUCAAUUUAGUAGUAUAAUUAACAAUAAAAGGUAUUCUUAUCAGUUCAAAUAUUUUUCUAAAUAAUAUAUAAAUAAUUUAUUUAUAUAUAAAAACAAGUCGGCUAACCAAAUUAAAUGAUCAAAAAAUCGACAUUAAGUCAAUCCAAUUUGUUGAUCAGUUGGUGCAAUUAGUAUUAAAAGUUGUUGGUUAAAUCGGUUAAAUUUAAAAAAAAAUUUGAACGAACAAGAAAAUCAAAUACUCACCCCUAAUAACAAUAGUCUUGAUGUUUAUUAAAAAUAUUAAAAAAAACAAUUCGAUUCGGGCUUGAAAUUUCUUCCUAAUUAACUUGAAAUUAAAUAAUUUAAUCAUAAAAAUAAAAAAAUUUAACCAAACAUGAACUAAUUUAAACAUCAACCUUUUGAAAAUUUUAAAAUUGGAGUUGAUGUGAGAAAAAAUCAACCGAGAUACUGCAUUGAUAGGUAUACAUUAAAGCAAGUUGGAAACAAUUUGUAGAAGCAUUGGGCUUUCCACACCUCCAUGAGCCUUUAAACUAUUGGGCUUAACUUUCUCUCGUUCAACGAAGAUGUGGGGCCUUAAUUACGGUUCUCUUCAUCCUUCAUAUAAAACUGUAAUUAAUCAAUCAUGGAAUCUCAUCCACUUUUUGAGUACUUGGCCCAUUCAUUUAUUUUAUUAACUUAAUCCCUUAAUUAUUUUUUUAUUAAACAUAAUUCAAUAAAAUCAAAUUUUAAUAGAAUUUACAUUUACCGCUAAAAGGAUUUAUAAAGUUAAUAUUUUUAAAAUUUUUAUGAUUUUGUAACUGAAAUAAAAAAAAAAACAUUUUCUAUGUCAUUUUUUAGAUGAUUAAUUUGACCCUAAUGUUUAUUUCUUUUGCUACUCUACCCCUCAUUCUUUUUUUUUAUUACUUUGGCUCAACCUUUAGAAUUUAGUCAAAUUACUUUUCUUUGAGUAGAAAAUUGAGUGAACUGUUAAGAUUUUCAUGGCAAUUAUAUGAUAGCUCGUAUGGCAUUCUGUCUGCACUUUAUAAAUUAAAAAAUACAUAAAAAUUAAUAAAAAUUUUCAUGAAAGUUCAUAAAAAAAAUUAUCAAUGUCAACAAUUAAGUACAUGUGGACUACACGCGGGUUGCCAUAUCAAUUCCAUUAAAAUUUUAACUGUUCAAUCAGGUUUUUUCUCCAAUAAAAGCAAAUUAACUAAAAGUUAAAAGUUGAAGGCUAAAGUAAACCCAAAAAUAGAGCAAAAGUGAAAAAAAGUAUAGACUAAGGGCUAAACUUGUCAUUAUGCCUACUUAAGAUUUAACUUUAUUUGAUCUUUAAUUUUGGUAAUAAAGCAGAGAUGGAAACAUAGAACUAAAGUUUACAAUGUCUUAUAAUGACUCUCCAUUAUCUAUCCUUUUGUAUUUUAGCCUAAAGCUCUAUAGGCGAUUGAUGAAGAAUAUGUAAACUCAAGUCUUGUUCCAUGACCAAAUUAAAAGGUUUCCUUUGUCAGUUAGAAGCUUGCAUCCAUAGUCCGAACAUGGCCUCCUCCCCCGAGUUUCCUGAGUUCCCGUCAUUUAACUUAUUCACUUUUCGGCCCCUUGUGUUGAUGCUGCUUAAAUCCCUUUAUUUGUGCAUAUUUCCUUAGUAUGGCCAUAACAACCACAUUUAUAACAAAUGGUGGGUAAUCCUUCGUACUCAAUAAUUUGCGGCCUGCCAUCGAUUCCUACAUAUGGAAUGAGAGGCUUAUUGCGAUCCACAACGAUGACAACAUAAGCAAACUUACCUCGAUUCCCUAUAUUAAUAUUGUAAUCAAUACAAAUAAUCAUUCCAAUGACCGCCGCAAUCGAUUGAAUAACUUCUUUUGUAUAGUACUGAUACGAUAGCCUCUGCAACCUAAUCUAAGCAACAAUCUUGGAUGGUGCAUUCCCAGUAGUUGAAAAAUCUCUACUCUUAGGCUGGAUGAUCAAAUAGUGCUCGUAGAUCAUCCAAGGACCUUCAGAAAGAGAUUUGGUAUAGUCCUUCACACAAUUGAACUUAACACCAUAGUAGUUGUUAUCCAGGUCCACCACUUGAAGGGAUCAUUCUGGUUGCCAUAAUGGAGUUAAACAAUUCACUGAAUCCUUAUAUCCAAUCGCCUUACCCAAAAGACAAACUAUGACAACAUUGGUCAUAGUUUUAUCAAUGAUGUCGUGUACUCAAUUUGAGAAAUAGAUCUCCAUAUAGGGUUCAUCUGUAUCCAUAAGCACAUUCUCAGUAGAAAGAAUUAACUCUUCCUCCAUCACCCUUUCAUCAGAGGAAUUGUUAUAAACCCAUGAACCAUUUAUUACAGUGUCGUAGAACGAAGCCUUAGAAACAACAAGACUUAACGUGCCAGUACUCUCCUCACUAAGGGUUCUAUCAUCUCUAUUUUUGACUUUUUUCGUCAUUCGUUCCUCCUCUAGUGUUCCCGGAUCACCAUGGUGUUCAUUAGUUGACUUUAGCAUCAGCAAGAUAAAAUCAAUUAAGCUCUUUCAUCGUUAAAGUUUAUAGUCAACCAUUACAACGUAUCCAUAACUAUUUUUUUGGUGUUUUCACAUGGCACGUCGAGAUUAUGCCAUGUGACAAAAACUGGUGUUUUAUAUUUAAAAUAUAUCAUAAAAAUUAUAAAAAAAUUAUUAAAAAAUUGUAUAAAAUCAUAAAAUUAUAAUAGUUUUUUUUAAAAUACUAAAAAAUUAUAAUAAAAAAUCAAGUGCAAAAAUAUAAUAAUAUAGAAAAUUAUAAAAAAAUUAUUAUAAAUGAAUUUUUUUUAAAAUGUAGAAAACAUUAAAAAUUAUUUAAAAUAAAAAAAUUGUAAAAAGUGAAUUUUUUAAAGUAUAGAAAAGCGUAAAAAAUUAUAAAAAUAUAGAAAAUUACAAAAAAAUAUUAUUACAAUUAUUCAAAAAUAAUAUAGAAUUAUAAAAAGAAUAAAAUUAUAUAAAAUAUAACAAUAUAAAAAAUGUUUACAAUUUUAUAUAUAUCCUCGAUUGUCACUUGCCUUCUCAACCCAUUUUGCCACCUUAGUUUACAUCUCAAAAACACUCUCCUGUCAACGAUGAUGGAUAAAAAGAGUGCAAGCUUUGGGGAGAUCUACGGUGGAUGAGCACAACAAAUAGCUUUAUGGAUCAAAUAAAUAUUUUAUAAAAUUUAGUAGUUAUCGUAGUGUUAACGAUGAUUAGUGUGCAAAUGAAAAGUAAUAUGUUUUUCGACAUAAUGACUUAUUUAGCCCUCCAAAUUUAAAAAAAAAAAUCACUUUAGCCUUCCAUUUAAUUUUUUUUACUUCUUUUAGCCCUUAAAAUUACAUUCUUUAUUAAAUCACCCCAAAAUGGAUUGAAAAUUUAACAUUUGUUAACCUUGCUAACGUGGCAUACACGUGGAUUGUCACGUUAGCAAUUAAUUAUUUUUUAAAUAUAAACAUUCAAAAUAUUAUAAAAAUUAUAAAAAUAUUUUUUAUUUUUUUAAAAUUAAUUAAUUACUAACAUGGCUUACACGUGGACUUCCACAUGGAUGCUACGUCAGCAAAGUUAAUAGAUGUUAAAGUUUCCAGCAAGUUCAAGAGAUAAAAGAUGAGAAAAAUUAAAUUAGAGGGAUCAAAGGACUUUUUUGUAAAGUUGGAGAGCCAAAUUAGUCAAUAUGUGUAACACCCCUAACCCAUAUCUGUCGUCAGAACAGGGUUACUGAGCAUUACCGGAAUUUACAGAUCAAAUAUAGUUAUUUCAUAUCAUUUAACAUUCAUAUAAGAAGUCAAUCAUAUUCUAUCAUAUUGUCCCUUAUAUGAGCCCUCUAGGCCCAAAAUAUGCAUUAAAAACAAGUUGAGACUAAACCAGUUGCAUAGAGAAUUUUUCGUAAAAUUUUAAAAUUUUUCCUAGAUGUAGGGGAGACACGCCCGUGUGGCCAGGCCGUGUGGGCAUUCGAACAAGGGCACAUGGUCGUGUCCUAGCCCGUGUCUAUGCCUGUGUAACUCUCUGAUUUGGGUCACACAGCCAAGCCACACGCCCAUGUGAGCAAUUUAAUUUGCAUUAAUUAGGUGUAAGGGUUACAUGGCCAAGCCACACUCCUGUCUGGAUAAUUUUGAGCAUUCUGUUUCACAAUUUUUAAGAUGCAGGGGACACACGGCUAGACCACAUGCCCAUAUGCUAGGUCGUGUGUCACACAUGGCUGAGACACACACCCGUGUCUCUGCCCUUGUGGAUGAAAAUAGGCUAUUUUCAAGGCCACUUCUCUCACCCAAUUUGUCUUCCACCUACAUCAGCACCUUAACACAUUCACAAGGCAAUACCAAUCAUUCCAAAUCAAGCUAAUACCAAGUAUAGUAUAUGUUAUAACAUCCCAUAUGUCUAAGUAUUCAAUUUCCCUUAAAUAACCCAAUUCACAUACAUCCAUAUCUUACCAAUUAUACUAACUCAAAUCAAUUAAUUAUGAACCUAUACAAUUCUCCAUCAUUUAACCAAUUCAAAGAUUCAUCAACCACAUUAAGUCCAUAUAUAAACAUAUCAAAAUAUGACAUUCACAAGCCAUUUCAAUAGCUAAUUACAAACAAACAUUUACAUUGCCAUCAUUGGUCAUAUUUAGCCUAUACAUGCCAUUAUAACCAAAAUUAGUUUGCUAUAUAUAUAAUACCGAAGAGUCCGAGGGAUAGUGUAAUGUAGCUCUGACCAGCUUCUAACCUUUACGAGCCUCCGAAUACUAUAAAACAGGGGAAAUAAAAUAGAGUAAGCAUUUAAUGCUUAGUAAGUUUGUAUAACGGGAAAUUAACUUACCAUUCAUUUUCAUUAAAAUAAACAAACAAAAUGCAUCCAAGCAAUUUGGCUAAUAGCCUAAACACACAACUUCAUCAAACAUGUUAGUCAUUUAUUUCACAUGAAUUUCAAGAACCAUGUAUGAGCUCAUCAAAUAUCAAAUUUCCAUGUAUUUCGUGUAUAUGCAAGUAACGAUUUACUUUGAAUUCAUUUAUUUUUCUCACAUCAGGAUUUUACCUAUCGAAUCAUUUAAAAUAUCGAUGGAUACCAGGGUAAUACACACGAAGUGUAAAAAAUCUAUACUCUGUCAAUUCAUAUUCGGGAAUGCUCAUAUGAGCACAUAAACGGGAAGCUCUUUCAAGCCAUAUAAUAGGAAGCUCAUGUAAGCCAUGUAACGAGAAGCUCCGGAGAGCCAUUAUCAAAAAUCUCAUAUGAGCUAAUGUCGGGAAGGUUCAAGCGAGCCAAUAUCGAGAAGCUCUGGGGAGCCAUUAACGGAAAGCUAACAAAGAGCAUUUAAUCGGGAAGCUCAUGAAGAGCCAUAUAUCAGAAUGCUCAUAAGAGCUACGAUGUGUCCACAACACAUGUAGGAUCACAACCAAAUCGAGAUACUCUGAAGAGCUAUUAACGGGAAGCUCGUAAGAACCAAAUAACGGGAAACUCAUGAGAGCUAAUAACGGGACGGUCUUUUGAGUCGUGGUGUGUCUACAACACAUGCAAUACCACAACCAAUCGGGAACCCUGUAUCCAUCGAAUUUCAUUUAUUCAAAUGGGACUUAAUACUUGUCGGAUAUAUUUGGAUGUGUGUUUAAUUUUCAUACAUGUAAAUUAUACAAUUUAAUUCACAUACACAACAUUCAAUUAAAAAAUAUAAAUAUACAAUUUAGUUACAUGAACUUACCUCGACAAUGUUCGUGCACACAAAAGUUACUAAUCCGCUACUUUCUCUUUUCCUCGGUUUAACUCUGUAUUUACUGAAAACGGGUUGUCACAACUCUCCCACUUAAAGAAUUUUCUUCCUCGAAAAUCUUACCAGUAAAGAGGUUUGGAUAAUGCUUCCUCAUUGUUUCCUCUGGUUCCCAGGUAGCUUAUUCUAAUUUGUGUCGUUGCUAAAGAACUUUUACUAAAGCUACCUUUUUAUUUCUUAACUCUUUCGUUUCACAUGCCAAAAUUUUGAUUGGUUCUUCACUGUAAGUCAUAUCAGGCUAAAUUUCAAUAUAUGUCAGAGAAAUAACAUGUGAAGGGUCUGACCGAUACUGUCGUAACAUAGACACGUGAAAAGCAUUGUGAAUCUUUUCUAGUUCUGGUGAUAAAGCCAUCCAAUAUGCAACAGGUCCUAUUCUUUCAGUGAUUUCAUAUGGCCUGAUAAAUCAUGGACCCAGUUUUCUUUUCCGCAUAAGAUUUCUGACGAUCAGAAGCUGCUUUCAAGCUGUCUCAAAUCACCUUCACUUUUUUUUCGGUUUCAUGGAUAAGAUUAACUCCAUGUAUCUUUUUCUUACUGAGCUCAGUCCAAUACAACGGAGUUCUACAUUUACGACUGUACAGAGCCUCGUACAGUGCCAUUUUAAUACUUGACUGAUAGCCAUUAUGAGCUUCGUGCAAAAUCUUCUGUACAAGCUCUGAAUUUCUCGGUACACAUACUCUGCCUCUGUACAACAGACAAUCAUUGGGUCCAAAAUGCUAACUCAAAUGUUGACUCACAUUGUACCCGUUUAGCUUGUAACUCCUCAUCAUUUUUUUGAGCUUCACAAAUUUGCUGUAGAAAUGUCAGUUUAGCUUUUAGCUCAACUAUGAUUGAACCAUCAUCAGACAAUGACAACCAGGUAUUCAUUGCUCACAAAACAAAUAGAGACUUUCUGCUUAGAGCAUCUGCAACUACAUUGGCUUUUCUCGGAUGAUAAUCGAUAACCAAAUCAUAAUCUUUCAACAAUUCAAGCCACCUGUGUUGUCUCAGAUUCAAAUAUUUUUGUGACAUCAGAUACUUUAAACUUUUAUGACCAGUGAAUAUAUGUCACUUAUCACCAAACAGAUAGUGUCACCAAAUUUUCAGCGAAAAUACAGUGGUUGUCAAUUCUAAAUCAUGUAUCGAGUAAUUCUUUUCAUGUGGUUUUAGCUGUCUAGAAGCAUAGGCUAUUGCUUUACCUUCUUGCAUUACAACAUAGCCUAAACCAUUCAAUGAUGCAUUACUGUAAAUUACAAAUUCCUUACUCGAAUCAGGCUGAACUAGAAUUGUUGCUUCAGUCAACAAAGUUUUCAAUCUGUCAAAACUCUGCUGACACUUAUCGGUCUAUUGAAAUUUCACAUCUUUCUACAACAACCGUGUCAUCAGAGAAGCUAUCAUCAAAAACCCUUUUACAAAUCUCCUAUAGUAACCAGCUAAUCCCAAAAAACUUCUAACUUCAGACACAUUUUUCGGUGGUUUCCAGUUAACAAUUGCUGAAAUUUUAUUCGGAUCCAUUCUAAUACCUUCAACAGAUACUAUAUGUCCAAGAAAACUAACUUCUCGAAGCCAAAAUUCACAUUUACUAAAUUUAGCAUACAAUUGUUUCUCACGCUAAGUUUGUAAAACAAUUCUCAAAUGAUCAUUAUAUUUUUUUUUCAUCCUGAGAAUAUACCAGAAUAUCAUCAAUAAAUACAACAACAAAUCUAUCUAGAUACGGUCUGAAGAUUCUAUUCAUUAAUUCCAUAAAUACUGUAAGUGCAUUUGUCAAGCCAAACGACAUCACAAGAAAUUCAUAGUGCCCGUACCUGGUUCUGAAGGCUAUUUUUGGCACAUCCGAGUCUUUCACUCGUAACUUAUAGUAGCUAGAACUGAGAUCUAUUUUCAAAAAUACUGUAGCACCUUUCAACUGGUCAAACAAGUCAUCAAUACGAGGCAGUAGAUACUUAUUCUUAAUUGUGACUUUGUUGAGUUACUGAUAAUUAAUACAUAAUCUCAAAUAUCCAUAUUUCUUCUUAACAAACAGAAUCGGCACACCCUAAGGUGAAGAACUAGGUCGAGCAAAACCUCUGUCAGUCAAUUCUUGCAACUGUGCUUUCAAAUCUUUUAAUUCUAUAUGGUGCUAUAGAUAUUGAUGUUGUGCCCGGAACAAGAUCUAUAGAAAAUUCAACCUCUCUGACCGACGGUAAUCUAGGUAAUUCAUCCGGAAACACAUCAGGAUACUCACAAAUAAUUGGCACUGACUUAAUCUUUGACUCCGAUACUUUAGUGUCUAACACAUAAGCAAGGUAAGCAUCAUACCAUUUUUCGACAUAUUUCUGUGUUGACAUGGCUGAUAUUACAUUAGACAACCCAUCCAUUUUAUCUGAUUCAAUAUAGAGUAUUUCACCAUUCUGGUAUUUUAAUAGAAUAUGAUUUUGUUUACAAUUUACCACGGCAUCAUGUUGCGUUAACCAGUCCAUACCCAGAAUCACAUCGAAUUCAUCAAAUGGCAAUAACAUCAAAUUAGUCGAAAAACAGUAACCCCGUACCAUUAGCGGACAAUUCUUGCAAAUUUUAUCCACCAUCACAUACUGGCCUAGGGAGUUUGAUGCUUUAACCAUAAAUUCAAUGGACUCAACAAAUAAAUUUUUAUUAGACACUAAAUUCGUGAAUAUGUAUGAAUGAGUUAAUCCGAGAUCAAUUAAAGUAGUUAUAUCAGUAUGAAGAAGAGAAAAACACCAGCAAUAACAUUAGGUGCAAAGGCAUCCUCACGUGCACGAAUAGCAUAUGUCCUUGCCAGUGCUUGUACUUUAGAUUUGACGGUUGAAUCAUUUGUCGUACCUCGACUACCACUCACAUUACCAAGGUUACGAGGUGGUUUACCUCUCGUAGCAGGGUUGCUCGACCUUAAAGUUUGAAUAGUAUCUUUUUCAGGCUUUUCUGGGUAGUUCCUGAGAUAGCGGUCAAAUGAACCACAUCUAAAACAUGCUCCACUUCUCAUGCAACACUUACCAAAAUGCAGUUUAUUACAAUGUUUGCAUCUGGGUUUGGGACUUCCAACACUGCCUGCACUUGUUACAGAUGUAGCCUGAGAUCUCGGAUUGGAACUUUGAAUACCUCAGUCUCUCCCAGAGUACCCAGUAGAUGUGAUAAAAAGAUCAUGAUAUUUCUUCGAUUUCUUUGAAGCUGACUAUUGUGACUUUCCCGAAAAUCUUUUACUUGAAGUUCGGGAUUUCAUCUAUGCCUAUCUCUUUUCUCUACUUAGUUUUUUAGCUGUAUGAACUCGGUCGACCUGUACCACAAAUUCUUUUAAUUCUAGAAUCCUAACCAACAACUUGACGUCUUCAUUUAAACCCUCUUCAAACCGCUUACACAUGGCAAUUUUAGUCGGGAUACACUCUCUAGCAUAUUUACUCAGUCUGACAAAUUCUCAUUCGUACUUAGAUAUUGUCAUAUUCCCCUGUUUAAGCUCUAAAAAUUCCUUCCGUUUUUGAUCCAGGAAUCUCUGACUGAUACAUUUCUUUUUGAACUCCGUUUGGAAAAAUUCUCAUGUAACCCUCUCUUUUGAUAUAACAAAAAUUAGUGUAUUAUACCAUUGAUAAGCCGAAUCUGUUAACAGGGAUACAACAUAUUUCAGACAUUCGGUUGGUGUGUAAGAUAAUUCAUCUAGAACCCUGAUAGUGUUUUCUAGUUAGAAUUCAACCCUUUUUGGAUCGUCUUCAGCGGUAGCUCUAAAUUCUUUUGCCCUAUAUUUACGAAUUUUAUCUACCUGAGGCUUAGCAAUUCUAACAAAUUCUGUACCUUGCGGCAUAUCAGGAACCGGUUGAGAGAUAGGAUGGGAAGGUUGUUGUACAGCCGGAUUUGUCCUUAGAAAUUCUGUAAACCAUUCAUUCAUCAUUUGAAAGAAGACUUUUUUAGCCUUUUCUCCUUGGUCUUCAGGUACGGGCCUUCUACUACUUGAAGCUGCUUUUUGAACUAAAGCUUGAGCAUUGCUCUUAGCUUCUUCAGAUUCACCUCGGUUGGACGACAUUACUAUAUGAAAAACAUGUUUAAAAUGGUCAGGAUGUAACAACCCAAUUUUGACCCUAAUUGGAAAAAGUGGUUUCAGGGCCACAAAUCUGAGUCAGAAAAAUAUUUUAAUAUUAUUUUUAGUAUUUGCAGUAUGUGAAUUAAUAUGUGUGAAAAUUUCGUAUGAAAAUUUGAUCGUUUGAGUGCUUAAUUUGAUAAAAUGACUUAAUAGCGUAAAAUAAAAAUUUAGGGGUCAAAUCUAAAAGCACUCAAUUGUUGUUGUCUUUUAAAAAAUGGGGGUUUUAAAUGGCAAUUAGGCCAUUUAAAUGAUAGUGGGUGAAUAUGGACAACUUUAUCCUUAUGUUAUAUGAAAUAUAAAUUAUUUAAUAAAGGUUAAUAAGGUAAAUAAAUAAAAUACUAAUAUAUGUUAAUUAAAAACAAAGUAAAAAUUCAAUUGUUAUCAUCCAUGUUUAGCUGAAACUAGAGAAAACAAAUAAAAGAAAAACACAAGCAUAUAUUCGGCCAUAUUCAAGCUUGAUUAAGGUUCAUUUUAGCUCGAUUUUUGAUAAUUUUUACGUUUUUGAGAUCCUUGCUUUGAAUACUUCAAAACCCAUGCCUUAAUUUUGUGAAUUGUUAAUGAUUUUGAAAUGUGCCAUUGAUGAAUGCUUGAGCUUUGUGAUAGUUGAUGAUGAAAAAUGAAAGAUAUGUGAAAGAUUAACAUGUUUUGUCUUUGAAUUUUUGGUGAAAUUGAGUAAUUAGGGCUAAAUUGUGAAAUUAAAGUUUUGAGGGACAAAAAUGUGAAAUAAAUGAAAUGUGUGGACUUGCAUGAGCACUAGGUACAUUCGGCCCUUGUAUAGUGUGGACAAAUUUUGUGUAUUUUGUGUUUUAUGCAAUAGGGACUAAAUUGCAAAAAGUGUAAAUGUUAGGGGUAAAAUGGUAAUUUGCCCAUUUAUGUGUUUUUGGACUAAAUUGAAUGUGAUAAUAUUUAAACUAGCUCAUUUUGAAUAUAUUUAGAUCAAGAACCAAAGAAAUCGGAGUUGGACCGGGGAAAACCUAAAGUCGUCGACUAAUCGUCCAGUUUCGAUUUUACACUGUCCAAUGUAAGUCUAUUAGCAAUUAAAAGUUAUUAAUUUAAUAUUUAUACAUGUAUACUAAUUGCAUUUUGUGUUGUGCUAUAAUUAAAGGUAUAUUGAUUGAAUAAGUUUUGAAGUAUGGAUGAUAUUUAUAUAUAUAGCAUGUUUGAAUAUACAAGUAUAAUCUUGUAUAGUUUUAUGAGUUGAAAUAAAGGUAAGAAAUGUAUAUAAGUAUAGUUGAUAUUCGAAUAAGCAUGCAUAUAUAUAUAUAUAUGUAAAUUUCUUGUAUUGAAUUUAGGUAAGAAAGUUAUAUAUGCAUAUGUUAGAUUCAAAUAUAUAUGUAAAUACAUGAACAAGUCUUGAAUUUAGAUAAAGGUAUGAGUAUGUAUAUAUGUAUAUAUAUGUAUAUAAUGCUCGAAUAUAUAUACAUAUAUAUAUAAGUUCAUGGUAUGAAUGUUGUAUAUGUAUAAAUUCUUGAUUUUAAUCAAAUGUAUGUAUAACAUAUAUAUAUUAGGUUCGAAUAUAUAUAUAGAUAUGUACAUGUAUAAACUCUUGGAUUUGAUUAAAGAUAUGUAACUUAUGAUUGUAUAUGUAGUUUCGAAUAGGUAUGUAUAUAUGAGUUGUAAUUUAUAUGUAUAUGCUAUAUUCGAAUGAGCAUGCUUACAUAUAUGUAUAUGUUCUUUUAUUGAAUUUAGGAAGGACAUUUAUAUAAGUUUAUAUGAGAUUCGAUUAUGCAGGUAUACAUGUAUGUGUUCUUGUAAUGAAUUAAGUAUGAAAUUUAUAUAUGUAUAUGAAAAAUUCGAUUAUGUAUAUAUAUUCAUGUAAAAGUUUUUGAAUGGAAUUGAAGGUAUGAAAUUAUUAGUUUGGAUCAUUAUAAGGUGAUUAAAUGUUUCAGACUUUACGUCUAGCAGGUCUGAUGCCGGUGAAAUAUUUCAGACUUUAUGUCUAGCAGGCUUAAUGCCGGUGAAACAAUUCGGACUAUAAGUCUAGCAGGCUAAAAGCUGGUGUAUUGAACAGGUUUUAAAACCUAGCAGGCUAAGUGCGGGUGAAUCUGUUUAUAUUAUGUGUUUAAAUAUGAUGGAUAUGCAUAUGAAUUAUGUCAUAUGUAUUUUAAGAACAUGUAUAUACAUUCGGUGAUAAUACUUGUUAGGCAUAUGUAUAUAUGCAUUCAGCUAUUUAUGUUUAAAGUGUAUAUACAUUCGGUGAUAAUAUUUGUUAUGUGUAUAAGCAUUCGGCUAUUCAUGUUUAAAGUGUAUAUACAUUUGAUGAUAAUAUUUGUUAAGCAUAUAUGUAUAUACACAUUCGGCUAUUCAUGUUUUAAAUUGUAUAUGCAUUCGGUUUUAAGUGUUGAUAAUUAUGUAUGCAUUUGACUAUAUGUAAAUGAUAUGUAAAUGUAUUUGGUUAUAAGAUUUUGAUGAGUAUUUAUAUAUACAAUUGGUUGUAUGCAUGUUGUUUAUAUAUAUAUGUACUCAUUGAUAUGAAUUCUAUGAGUUCAUAUAUUUGGUUAUAAAUAAGAUGAAUAUGAAUAGUAAUUAUUCAAAUGAUAACAUAUAUGGUAUAUUACGAAUUCAUUAAGUGUACCAGGAAAUUAUAUAAUUAUUUAUGUAUAUUUUAGUUAUGCUAUAGACUUACAAAUCUAUAAAAGCUUACUUUGUUUGUUUAUGUCUUUCUAUUUUUUUAGACUUAAAGAUCAAGCUUCAAGUUCGGGGAUUGUCAGCAAGAUCAUCACUCUAUCUACUGUCUUGGUAUUAAAAUGUUUAAAUUUUAACUUAUGGCAUGUACAAGCUAGAUAAUAUUUUGAAGGUUGUACUUCUAUAUAUAUUGUAUAUGAGAUUAAUAGCCAUACGAAAAUGGCUUAUUUUCUUAUGGUUCAUUUGUAUUGUAAUGUCUUUGUUUCGUUCAAAAUGGUCAAAAGAGAAUCUUAAAUUUUUGCAUGUUUAAUAUUAAAAAAAAAUUAAACUUUAAUGAAUGUUUGUUUUGAUUUGUGCUUUGAUUAGUAAUGCCUCUUAACCCUAAUUCGGCGACGGUUACACAGGAGAUAUCACACUAUCACAUGUUAUAAAAUGACAUGUAUAGCUAGACUCGUAUUUGCUACGUUAGUCCAAGAAUCGGCUAAACCGUAGCUUUAAUACCAACAAAUGUAACACCUUUAACCCAUAUCUUUAACCGAAAAAGGGUUAUGAAGUAUUACAAGAAUUUACAGAUCAAAUACAGUUAUUUCAUAUAAUUUAACAUUCAUAUAACAAGUCAAUCAUAUUCUAUCAUAUUGUCCCUUAUAUGAGCCCUCGAGGCCCAAAAUAUGCAUUAAAAACAAGUCGAGACUAAACCAGUUGCUCAGAGAAUUUUUCGCAAAAUUUUAAAUUUUUUCCUAGAUGCAGGGGAGACACGCCCGUCUGGUCAGGUCGUGUUGUUCACACGGACAAGAGACACGCCUGUGUCUCAGGCCGUGUUGGCAUUCGAAGUGGGGCACACGACAUUGUCCUAGCCCAUGUCUAUGCCUGUGUAACUCUCUGCUUUGGGUUACACGGCCAAGCCACACGCCCGUGUAAGCAAUUUAAUUUACAUUAAUUAGAUUCAGUGGUCACACGGCCAAGCCACACUCCUGUGUGGAUAAUUUUGAGCAUUAUGUUUCUCAAUUUUUAAGAUGCAGGGGACAUACAGCCAGACCACACGCCCAUGUGCUAGGUCGUGUGGACGAAAAUAGAUUAUUUUCAAUGCCACUUUUCUCACCCAAUUUGUCUUCCACCUACAUCAACACCUUAACACAUUCACAAGGCAAUACCAAUCAUUCCAAAUCAAGCUAAUACCAAGUGUAGUACAUGUUAUAACAUCCCAUAUGUCUAAGUAUUCAAUUUCCCUUAAAUAACCCAAUUCACAUACAUGCAUAUCUUACCAAUUAUACUAACUCAAACCAAUUACUUAUGAACCUAUAUAAUUCUCCAUCAUUUAACCAAUUCAAAGAUUCAUCAACCACAUUAUGUCCAUAUAUAAACACAUCAAAAUAUGACAUUCACAAGUCAUUUCAAUAGCUAAUUACAAACAAACAUUUACAUUGUCAUCAUUGGUCAUAUUUAGCCUAUACAUGUCAUUAUAACCAAAAUUAGUUUGCUAUAUAUAUACUGAAGAUUCCGAGGGAUAGUGUAAUGUAGCUCUGACCAGCUUCCAACCUUUACGAGCCUCCGAAUACUAUAAAAUAGAGGAAAUAAAACAGACUAAGCAUUUAAUGCUUAGUAAGUUCGUAUAACGGGAAAUUAACUUACCAUUCAUUUUCAUUAAAAUAAACAUGCAAAAUACAUCCAAGAAAUUUGGCUAAUAGCCUAAACACACAACUUCAUCAAACAUGUUAGUCACUUAUUUCACAUGAAUUUCAAGAAUCAUGUAUGAGCUCAUCAAAUAUCAAAUUUCCAUGUAUUUCGUGUAUAUACAAAUAGCGAUUUACUUUGAAUUAAUUUAUUUUUUUCAUAUUAGGAUUUUUCCCGUUGAAUCAUUUAAAAUAUCGAUGGAUACCCGGGUAAUAUACACGAAGUGUACAAAAUCUGUACUCCGUCAAUUCAUAUUCAGAAAUGUUCAUACGAGCACAUAAACGAGAAGCUCUUUCGAGCCAUAUAACAGGAAGCUCAUGUGAGCAAUGUAACGGGAAGCUUAAGAGAGCCAUUAUUGGGAAUCUCAUAUGAGCAAUUGUCGGGAAGGUUCAAGCGAACCAAUAUCGAGAAGCUCCGAAGAUCCAUUAACUAGAAGCUUAUGAAGAGCUAUAUAUCGAGACGCUCAUAUGAGCUGCGGUGCGUCCAUAACACAUGUAGGAUCACAACCAAAUCGGGAUGCAACAAAGAGCUAUUGACGGGAAGCUCGCAAUAACCAUAUAACGGGAAGCUCAUGAGAGCUAAUAACGGGAUGAUCUUUCGAGCUAUGGUGUGUCCGGAACACAUGCAAGACCACAACCAAUCGGAAACUCUGUAUCCAUCGAAUUUCAUUUAUUCAAACGAGACUUAAUACUUGUCAGAUAUAUUUGGAUGUGUGUUCAAUUUUCAUACUUGUCAAUUACACAAUUUAAUUCACAUACACAACAUUCAAUUCAAAAAUAUAAAUAUACAACUUAGUUACAUGAACUUACCUCGACAAUGUUCGUGCACACAAAAGUUCCUAAUCCGUUACUUUCUCUUUUCCUCGAUUUAAUACCGUAUUCAAUCUAUCCAGAUCUAUACGAAUGAAUUUAACAUUAAUUUAAUACAAUUUACAUUCAAUUCAAACCAAUUCACACUUUAGGUAAAAUUACCAUUUUACCCCUAUACUUUUAAUUAAUUUUGAUUUCGUCCCUAGGCUUGGAAAAAGAAAUUCAUGAAAUUUAAUCUUUAUCCCAAGACUAGAAAUUUUCAUAUAGAACAAUAGCAACCCAUGAAUUCCAUAAAAUUUAGAAUUUUCCAUGAAUUCAACAUCUUUUCAAUUUAAUCCCUAAAUCAUGAUUUCAUCAAAAUUCUUUAAGAAAAUACUUUUAAAUACCCAUCAACAUCUCAAAUUCAUCAUCUAAUAGCUAAAAUCAUAUGAACUCAUCAAUGGUAACUUCCAAGGUUUUCAAUAAAAUCAAAAACUAAGGUAAAGGUUAUUUGGACCUAAUUGUAACAAUAUAAAAAACAUAAAAAUUUCAAGAAACGGGUAAGAAUUGAACUUACAUGGAGCAAAAAUUGAAAAACCAGCCUAAACCCUCUUCAAUGUCUGCUUUUAGAACCAAAAAUGAUAAUGAAAUGUCUAGAAAUCUUUAAUUUUCCAUUUGUUAUAGUUUAAUUUGGCAAAAUUUACAAUUGAUUUUUAUUUUAUUAAUUUUCCAGGUUAUGCCCCCUCUUCCACCCAUUUUAGGCAUAUUUAUGCCUUAAGUCCUUCCCUAUUUACUAGUUAAGCUAUUUAAUCACUUAACUAUUAUAGUUAGCAAGUUUUACAUAUUUUUCAAUUUAAUCAUUUUUAACUAAUUAGACAUGUAAUCGGUAAAUUUUCUUAACGAAAUUUUCAUUCGAAAUUUCUAUUAUACCAUAGACCACAAAAUAAUAUUAAAAUAAAUUUUCUUUCGACCUUAGAUUUGUGGUUCGGAAACCACUGUUCCGAUUUCACUGAAAACGAGUUGUUACAAUAUGCCUAUUUUAUAUAUAUAUUUUUAUAUUUUUAAUUUAUUAUAUAUUUUUAUGCUUCUUACAAUAUUUUAUAAUAUAUAUUUUAAAUUUUAUAUAAUUUUAAUAAAUUUUUAUUUUUAAAAAAUUCAUAUUUUUUAUAAUUUUUUAUAUUUUUCUCGUAAUUUAUAUUUUUAUAAUUUAUAUAAAAUCAUUUUUAAUAAUUUUUGCAAUUUUUUUAUCAUUUAUAUAAUUUUUUGUCAUUUAUAAUAAUUGUUAUAUUUUUAUUUUUCUUGCACUUCAAAUUAUUGUAUAGUUUUCAUAUUUUUUAUGAUUUAAAUAUAGAAUAAUUGUCAAAACCAUUUUUAUUUAAACGGGGUCGACUUUUAUUUAAAAACAAAAAUGGAGUCGCCACCAAUCUAUUUUUAUGAGGUGUGAUUGAGUCACCUGGAAAAGUAGUUGUUUUUAAUAAACGAUUUGAUCAUAUUAAAAAUAACGAUUUCGGUCCACAAAAUUCAGAAAAAUGGGUUCGGGAGUCGGUUACGUACGAGGAAGGAUUAGCACCCUCGUAAUGCCCAAAAUUGGUACCUAGUUGAUUAAUUAAUGUCUUAAUGUCGAAUAUUGAAAAUUUGAAGAGCCCGGGCUAAAUUGGCCUAUUAUAGCUGCCCCUCUUUGCUCAUUGUCGUGUAACGAAAAUGAAGCAAAGACUAAAGAAGGCCAAUUUUGCCCGGUCGUGUUGGACAUUGGUGCGCUUCUUCUUCAAGUAGCCUCUUCCUGACCCACUGUAGCUUCGGAGAGAUAAGGCUCACUUUCUUCAACCUACUCCAUUGCAACUUUAGGGAGAUAAGAUUGAUAUAUUCAACCGGCUCCACUGUAACUUCAGAGAGAUAAGGUUGGUUAUCUUCAGUCUUUAAUUGCUCCGUUGCAACGCCAUGGAAACAAGAUUGGCUACCUUAAGGUUUAAUCUGUUCUACUGUAACCUUAGAGAAAUAAGAUCUACCAUCUUUAGUCUGCCCCACUGCACCUUCAAGGGAUAAGACUUGCUUUCUUCAAUUUUAACGCCAGGGAGAUGAGAUUCGCUGCCUUCAGCUUUAAUCUGCUCUGCUACAACACCAGGGAAACCAGAUUUGCUACCUUUAGCCUUAAUCUGUUCCACUGUAAUGCAAAAGAGAUAGGAUUCGCUGCCCACAGCUUUAAUCCGCUCCACUUCAGCUAUUCCAAGUCUUAAUGUCAGGGAGAUAAGAUUCUCUGCCCUAUGCUCUAAUCUGCUCCGCUGCAACGCUAGGGAAACAAGAUUCGCUACCUUUAGCUUUAAUAUGUUCCACUAUAAUGCCAAAGAGAUAGGAUUCGCUGUCCGCAGCUUUAAUCCACUCAACCUCAGCUAUUCCAAGUCUUAACACCAGGGAGAUAAGAUUCGCUGCCCUCAGCUUUAGUCUGCUCCGCUGCAACGCCAGGGAAAGAAGAUUCACUACCUUUAGCUUUAAUCUAUUCCACUAUAAGGCUAAAUAGAUAGGAUUCGCUGCCCACAGCUUUAAUCCGCUCUACUCUAGCAUUAACUCAUUCUGCUGCAAUGCCAGGGAAACAAGACUUGCUACCCCUAGCUUUAAUCUGCUCCACUGCUGCGUCAGGGAAAAUUCGCUGUCUUCGAUCUGCUCCACUACUGCUCUGGGAGACAUGAUCUAAAAUCUUCAACCUACUCCACUGCUACUCAGGGAGAUAGGACUAGUUGCUUAAAUCUGCUUCCCUACUACCUUGGGAAGAUAAGAUUUGUCAUCUUCGAUCUGCUUCGCUGUCAGUACAGAAAAGCAAGAUCUGCUAUCUUCAGUCUGCUCCGCUAACAAUACAGGAAUAUAAGAUCUACUAUCUUUGAUCUACUUCGCUGCCAAUACAGUAAGACAAGAUUUGCUAUCUUCAAUCCACUUCACUGCAACUUUGGAGAGAUAGGAUUUGUGGUUUCACUGAUCUGUUCUCUGGGGAACAUGACCUGUAUAAUUCAUUUUAUGAACCUAAUUAUGCCUAGUGUCAUGAUCAGAAUGAAUCAAAUGCUCCUAACUAGACAUGUAUGAAUGAUGUUUGCAUGAAUUCAGAAUGCCAUUUUUUUAGAAUGAUCAUUCUUUUUCACUUAGGUUGUCAUUACUCAAAGUUUAUUAAGGUCUUAUCACUAACGUGCUAUAACGCCUUCUUGCUCGGCCAGCAUCCAGAAACUUAAUCAGAUUGCCCCACUAUAAACCUCAAAGUUUAUUAAGGUUUUAUUAGGGACUCAAAGCGCCCUUUGCGGGUUUUCACCUUGAUUCCCUCUCCUAUUAGGUAAAGUACCUCUUGACUGCAUCUGAGUUUACAGGGUUUGGCAAGUUUUUGCCAUCCAUCUCACUCAAGAUUAAAGCUCCUCCGGAAAAGGCCUUCUUUACAACAUAUGGGCCUUCCCAAUUUGGCAUCCAUUUCCCUCUAAAAUCCUUUUGUAUAGGAAUGAUCUUUUUCAAUACUAGGUCCCCCUCGUGGAAUUCUCUUGGACGAACCUUUUUGUUGUAGGCCCGCAUCAUUCACCUUUGAUACAUCUGCCCGUGUUGAAUAACUUUUAGCCUUUUUCCCUCUAUUAAAUUCAACUGAUCACAUCGUGAUUGGAUCCAUUCUGCUUCAUCCAACUCUUAGCUCAACUAAUACCCGAAGAGAAGGGAUUUCUACUUCAAUGGGUAAAAUUACCUCCAUACCACAAACCAAAGAAAAAUAUGCUGCCCUAGUGGAAGUCUUGAUAGAUGUUCGACAAGUAAGGAGGGAAAAUGAUAAUUUUUCAUGCCAGCCCUUGUAAGUCUCAGUCAUUUUUUCGCAAUCUUCUUAUUAUUUAUUCCUGGGCGAUACAGUGAUGAAUCGCGAUGUCUGAGUUUGAAUUGAUUAUAGACCUCAGCUAUCGUGAUAACACAUUUACCGAUACCAUCUUCUCUGGAAUUCUAUAACGGCAUAUGAUAACAUUGGCGUAUGAAGCAGCCUUUACCCGUUCGAUGAAGUAAAAAAUGAAGCAAUGCCCAUUAUAAGCCUUCGAUGAUGAUGACGUCCAGGCCCCGAUUUUGCUCAAAAUUUGAGUCGCCCUUUUCAGGUUUUCAACUCAAAUCCACCUUUGGUCACAAAGCGCCCUUUGCGGGUUUUCGCCUUGGCCUCUCCUUUUCCUUUUCUUUUUUUUUCAUUUUUCCAUCAUUUUCAUUUUCAUUUUCAUUUUCAUUUUUUUAUUUUUUAAUUUUUUUUUGAAACCCAUAGGAUUAGACAAGUCUUUGUUAUCCCUUUCGAUCAGAAUAAAUGCUUUUCUAAAUAAAAUCUUUUAUGCAAGAUCCUUCACAUCCACUUUAAUUUUGUAUGCGAAUGAUCUUAUUUGGUAUCAAACUUCUUUCAUAGAGCUUUCUGGGUGAGAUUUACUUUUGGAGCAUUUGACUAUGAAAAAAAACUUUGAAUCUUCCUUUUCAAUUAGGGUAAAAUUCAGUAAAGAAUGCGGAGAGAUGGCAACUUGACUUCAAUGGGCAAAGCUAUGAUAAAUCAAAGAGAAAAGCGUUGUCCCGGUAAAGAAUUUUCGCUGUAUCGUUCAUGAUGUUAAUCUUUAACAUACUACAAAUUUCUGAUAUCGUGCUGUUGUUCAAAUUACAAUAUCAGUAUUUAACCCGAGCAUAUCCUAUUAUGACCCUGCGAAGACAUCUUUAAACUCUUGAAGUAACUUAACAAUGUCUUGCUUCGCUUCUUCGGUUAUGCACGUUCCCUUAAGGUCACAAUCUCCAUUGUCUCCUCAGGAGGUAAAAUUUCAUUCUUGCUUUACCAUCCUCAACAAGUCCGAGGAUAGGCUACAAUCUAUGUCAUUUUCAAAGUCAUGAGAUCCCUCUAAACACAUGCCUCACUCAAAAGGAAAUUCUGAGUCUGUAGCAGCGUCACUCAUGUCAUUGAUAUCUGGGGACCUAUAGUAAGUAUCAGAGAAUAUACAAAAGGAUGUAUGAAUUUAUGAAUAAUUAUUUGUACAAUAUGAUUAAGAAGGAAUAAAAGAAUGAUAUGGAAGAAAAUCCAAGAGAAUGAAAGAAUAAUUAUUCGAAAAGAAUAAAAGAAUAUUGGCUCAAAAAUAAAUGCAAAGAUGUAUUUUAUUAGAACAACGACGUUCAGACAUGAGCCUGUUUCACAAAGGAAUUCCUAUCAUUUUUAGGCUAAAAACAACAAGAAUUGUUCUGAACAUUACUCUGAAUAAGCUCUAAAGACUACAUGGAUUUCUUCCGCAGUCUAAUUAUUUAGCUCGCUCUCAGGUUCGUAAGGGCAGAUUUCUAACAAAGUCCCUCUUUUAGCCUUGUCUUCAUAUACGGUGUUGAUGUAAACGCUUCCUAAAACUUCUUCAUACAUCGUAUUCACCCCAUUAUCAAUGUGAUUGGGUAGCGAAUUUUCUGCACUGGAGACCUCAUCGAACUUGACAAUGCCUAUAUUAAUGAGUCUUUCAACUAUCUUUUUGAAUGCGGUGCAAUUUUCUAUCGAGUGCCCCGUAAUUCCUGCAUGGUAUUCACACUGAGCAUUUGCGUUAUACGAUUUAGGAAAUGGAGGCAACAUUGGUUUCAAGUAGAAAGGGGACACCAUAUGUGCAUUAAAUAGGCUUUGAUAUAGCUCGCUAUAUGACAUCGGUAUAGGCGUGAACUGAGGCCUUUCUGUAUUUGCCUUCAUGUAAGAUUCUCGCUUCAAAGGGCCCUGAUGGCUGGUGGUUUCUGUCUUUGGUCGGUCCACAGCGAUUGGUUUUGAGUGGCCCUUGUUAUAUUUUCCUGCAUUAUCCCCCUUAUUCCCCUUCCUCUUUGGGGCCUUUAUAGUAUCUGGGUACUCUACCCUCGCCUGUUUUAUUUCUGCUGGAUUAUCAAGAGCAAUAGGAUUGGCUAGAUUGUUCCUCAGAUUGGAUCUUGAGCCUAUCGGGCGAUUCAUUGGUGUUAAGGUACCGGUCUGAUAUUGUUGGGAUUUGAUAGUAAGGGGUGCCCCUUGUGGACGCAUAUCUGGUUGGACAUUUAUCGGGGUAAAACCUGAGGGAUAAACAGGGUCUUCAUUAUCCUCUCCAAAGUGGACCACUGGGCUUUGCUCUCUUUCUAACCCUCUAGCCAAUAACUAGGUUAACUGGUUUAUCACAUUUCUUUGGAAUUCUAACAUCUGAUCUUUCAUAUCUUGUUAAAAUUUGGUCAAUUGCUCUAGCAUCUUUAUUUGUAUCUGCUCUAAUCUCUCCAACCUUUGGUCCAUUCCCUUAGUCUUUGCUUGGGUAUUGUAAGGGUGUUGGCUUUCCAGAUUAACUGAAAUAACUUUAAUCAAUUAGACUCUUUUAAUGGAUUUUAAUGCAUAUGAAGAAAUUAAGUGCAAAUGUAUGAAAUGAAUGCAAAAAGAGACGUUGAUUCUGGUUCAAUUUUUUACUAAAAUAACUUUACUAGAAAACAGAUCUCUUUACAUAAAGCGGAUACAUAUACGACUUCGCCCUCGAUCAUCUGGAUAUUAAGAUGCAUCUCGCGAAUUUUUCAAUAGACAUCUACUAGCUCCUUUUGCUUGAUCCAGGUCGCAACUCGUUGCUCACUCAUGCUCCUGAUCUUCUUUAAAAAGGUUGGGAUGUUUGACAACUCUUGAAGAAUCUUUGCUAACUUGAAUCUUCAGGCAACGCAGCAAGGUCGUAUACUCCUCUUGUUACACUUCUCGCAUCACGUUUUCUUGGACUAUAUUUGGACAACCGUAUUGACUUCCACUUUAUCAAGAAAUCCAUUUUCCAUGACAAGCUCUCUAUUUAGCAACUAAACAUGAAUCAACACCUCUUUUCUAUGAUGAAAUGCCAUGCAGUCAAAAUGUCAUGCAGCCAAAACAAACACAAGUUAGUAUCAGGUAUAAACGUAGAAUCCAAUGCAAUCAAGAAAUAAUAAAACACCUAUUCGGGUAUCUACUAGGGUUCAGUGUAGUUCUACCUAGGGUGAGUUUCUAAGGUUCACUAUAUGAGGUUUGGCUUCUAGAGCAAAGGUACCCAAACCAGCAGAUUCCUCAAUCCUCACCCAUUAUAGGCUCAUAUGGACCGAGUUCAGUUCAGGGGAAUACAUUUCCCUAUGGCUGCACGAGAUGGAAAUCUCAUGAAGACAUAGGUACAGAUGUAUCCCGAAAGCGGUCCACUAUCCUACACGGAGGUGAACACCUCACGAGGGACUAGUUUCUCGCUCCCACUUAGAGGGGUAAAAUUGACCAACCCACGCAAUGCAAAAUGCAAAUACACAUUAACAUAUUUGGACCAACCAAACAAACAUACCAUGAUCAAAAUCAUGGUAAUAAUGCAUAAGGGGGGAAUCGUGAUUUUAAAACAAAUUUUGAUUUCUCGAACGAAAGACAAAAAUUAAUCAAUUUACGACUCGACUCUCUAACAUCUCCCCAGUGGAGUCGCCAAGCUGUCGAAACCAUUUUUAUUUAAACGGGGUCGACUUUUAUUUAAAAACGGAAAUGGAGUCGCCACCAAUCUAUUUUUAUGAGGUGUGAUUGGGUCACCUGGAAAAGUAGUUGUUUUUAAUAAACGAUUUGAUCUUAUUAAAAAUAACAAUUUUGGUCCACAAAAUUCAGAAAAAUGGGUUCAGGAGUCGGUUACGUACGAGGAAGGAUUAGCACCCUCGUAACGCCCAAAAUUGGUACCUAGUUGAUUAAUUAAUGUCUUAAUGUCGAAUACUGAAAAUUUGAAGAGAUCAAAACAAUUCCCCUUUUAAAAUCCUUAUUGAAAUUUAUUAUUUUGAAAGCUAAAUAAAAUUUGGCCAUCUUACUUUAAUGAAGAAAUCGAAACCCCGUAGUUAGGGUACGAUUGUUUGAAGUUCCGAUGACAACUCACAAAGUUGUUUUUAUUAAAAAUCUCAUCUUGUGAUAACAAAACGUCGUAUCCAGUGAGUUAGGAUAUAACAUUUUGAAUUUUCGAGAAUAAGCUUUUAUUUGAAAUUUGUAUGAUUUUAUUGAAAAAGGGAUACUCGGCUAUUUUGAAUUUAACGAGAAAAUUGAAGCCCAGUAAGUUAAGGCAUAAUCUUCUCGAAAAUCUUAAAUAUCGAGUCUUGUUUUAUAAACUUUUGAAUAAAAUGUAAUGUGAUUAAAUGAUAACAUACGACGCAAAAGGAUAAUUUGUAAAUGAAUCAUACACUAACGAAUAACAAAUAAUUAAUAAACAAAUAUAAACAUGCAUGGCAACAAUAAUUUCAAUCAUACAUUAUAUAAAUACCAAUAUCAAUAUUUUAAAAUUAAAUGAAUUAAUAAUCAAUUUUAAAAGAUAUACUAAAGAAAUAAAUGGCAAAAGGAGAAAUUAUAACCAAUAAAUUAUACGUUCAAAAUUUUAAAAUAAACAAUAUAUAUGAGUUAAAACAAAUAAUAUAUAUGAAUGUACAAUUUAAUACAAAUAAUAUCUACAAUUUGAAAUGAAUUGGAUAAUUUACAAUAAAUAAUAUAUAAUAAAUUUGAAAUAAUAAUACAUAUAAAAUUUAAAAAAUUUUUUGAUGAUAAUUCUAUAAUCAUAUGUGAUAAAUCCAAAAUAAUAGUAUAUAAUAAAUUUAAAAAUAUUAAUGAUAAAUUUGAAAUAGAUAUACAUGAUAAAUUUAAAAUAAUGUUAACAAUGAAUUUAAAAUAAUAAUAUUGACAAAUUACAAAUAAUAAAACAUGAUAAAUCUAAAAUAAUAAUAUACAAUACACUUAGAUAAUAUUAAUGAUUAAUUUAAUAAUAGUAAGUAUAAACAUUCAAAUAAUAUCAGAUUCAAAAUUAAAAAAAAAACAUAAUAAUCAAUACUUAAACAAAUAAAACACAAGCAAAUUAAAUCAAACUAGUGAGGAUUAAAUUGAAUUUAAAACAGAAUUAAAAGGAAAAAAUGAGAAUAAAACCAAACUGAGGGCCAAAAUAUGGAAAAAAUAGAUAGUAUAAAAAAAGAAAUUGCAAUUGAUAAUAUAUGGAAAAAAAUUUAAAGCAAAUAAUCAAACAAUUUAAAAUGGAUGAUUUAUAAUACGAGUUUUUAAAAAAUAAACAACAUGUGUGACAUAAUAUUAAAAACAAAUAAAGUAUAUAAUUAAUGGAAAAAAAUAAAAGAAUAAUAAGAAUGGUUAAAUGAAUGAACAAUAUGUAAAUAAGAAAGUUGAUGGAUAAAUAAACAAAUAAAAGUAAAAGAAUAAUUAAUGAUUAAACAAUUAAAUAGAUAAAUAAAAAAGGUUAAAAAAACGCUUAAGUCAGCCUUACUCCCACAAUAUGAAGAUUUAACGAAAUUCCUCCACCAAAAUCCAACUCAAAUGAAAGCAACUUAAAAAGAAACGAAGAUGAACAAAAAAACAAAAUAAGAACAAGCCACAGAAAAUAAGAACGCAAGAGAAGGAGAAAUUUGAGUGAAUGCUCUUAAGAAUUAUUAUUACUCCAAACUCCAGUGUUUUACAAUGAAGGGAGAGGCCUCUAUUUAUAGUUGAGCCUCCCCAAAUCCAACGGUAUAGAUCAAUUACAUCAACGGCUAAGAUUUAAAGGGUAUCUACAAAUUAAAUCUUUAAGAUUACAAAAUCUUAUCUUCUAAGAUUGCAUAUUAUAUCUAAGAUUGCAUAUCAUUUUUCAAGUAAUGGAUCAUUCCAAUCGGGUCAAAUGAUACAAUUUUGGACUGGACUUGGAAUUUGUUUUAUUAUUUUGGGUUUAUUAUUUUUUUGUGAGCUCGGGCUAAAUUGGCCUAUUACAAUAAUGAUUAUCGCCACGUGACAAAAACGUCCAGAAGAAAACAAUUGUUGUUACUUUGUAACGUUUAACCUUUAAUUUUAAUGGUCAAAGAGCUUAAUUAAUUAUAAUUUUAAAGUUCAAGGGACCAAUGUUUUUUUUAACCUUUUAUCUAUAACAAAGGUUUCAACAAUUCAAAUAAUAUUUGAAAUUUUCAUGAAAUCUAAACUCAAAUUUAUAAAUCUACCUUAAAAUUCAAAUAUAUUUAUUAUUAGUAUAAAAUUUAAAUAUAAUUGGUCAAAUAAAAGUGCAAAUUAAUUGAAUUAAAACAAAAUAUCCAAAUUCACUAAAUAUCGAAUUUCAGUAUGUCCAAAAGAAAAUUAUAAAAUAAAAUAAAAUAGAUAAUAGAUUCCAAUAUCCAAACUCAUUAUUUUCAAAAGUGAAUUUGAAUUCAUUAUCCGCAAGAUGUAAACAAAUUUGAAUAUUGAAUAUUGGAGAGUUAAUAUAAUAUCCUAUCUGAAUAUGAUGCAAUCAAAUAUUAUGCACGAGAUUUUAAACAAGUUAGCCUUUGUUGUUAAUAAGUUCCUAGCCUGAUUGAUGCAAUCAUACCAAUUAGGGGUGUGCUUUUUUUAAGUUUAUCCGAAUUAACAGAUCAAACCAAAUUAGUUAAUUUAAUUGGUCGAUCACCGAAUCUAAUUUGAUCGAGAUCAAUUAAAGGGUUUUGAAAUUUUUAAUUAUCGGUUAAUUUGGUUCGAAACAGAAUGAUUAACUGAAUUAAAUGAUUAACUAAAAUUAUUAAUAAUUUAUAAGCCUAAUGUAUUAUAGAUAGAUCCAAUAUAUUAGAGAUAAGUCUAAUACAUUACAUAAGCCCAAUAUAUAAAAUUACUGGAUUUAUAAAUAUUUCUAUAAUGAGCUUAGAAAAACAUUAUAAAAACUAAAAAAUAUUUGAAAAAAGAAACUAAAAUUAAACAAAAUAACACAGAAUAAAAAAUUUUAAAAUUGAUGUUUUUAAUGUAAGGUUUGUUAUUAUGUUUUAAUUUAGUGUUAUUAUUGUGUUAUUUGUUGUUUUAAAUUUCAGUUAAACUUUUUUGAAUUAAAAAGAAAGAAAAAAUUGUCAUAGAUUUUUUUAUGUUUUAAAUUGUUUGAAAUAUAUAUAUAUAUUUAUAAAUUUUGGUUAAAUCAAUUAACCAUCGGUUAAUAAGAAUUUAUAAAUUUUGGUUAAUUAGAUUGGGGUAUUAUUCGAUUUCAUAAACAAAUCAUAGCAAGCAAAAUUUGACGUCAUCGAUAAUCGGGUUAAAUUUAGUAAAAGAAAAUUCACCCCCGAGGGCAGGGGGUCACUUUCCUGGGAUCCUCCUUCAACCAUAGCCGACAAGAAAACUUGUUUCCAUGGAGUAAGGGACCAUCCUCAAAUUCAUGAUAAUAAAAGGGACCAAUGUUCCCAUCCUCACCAACUGGUCCAAUGGCAGGGGCCCUCAUCAUUCACAUUCAACAUUAGCCAAAGACUACUGUUUCAUGGGUCCCUAUUCUUUACACUAAUAGUUGAGUUCCGUUUCCAAACAUCUAACGGCUCUAACGGAACAUGAUUUUGACGUACGCUUUUAGAAUCACAAACUCAAUGGCAAGGUUGAGGUCCUACAAGCUUUGAGGUACCAAGUUCGAUAAAGAGUAAAUGAAAUGGCAAAACGGAGUGCAAGAGUGUGCAAAAUACAAGGAUCUUUUCCAUUCAAUUCCACAUCAAACAGCAUAUUACAGAGAAAUUGAAAUGCUGCAAAUUUUCCAAGCACCUGUUUCUAUGCAUGAACCGAGUAGAAACAGAAGUGAGAUAUAAAAAUAUUUGCAUUUGUAAUUUCAUCUACUACUGUUGGACUUCCCAAAAUUUAAAACCUUAAAACUGUACCAUACUUGAAAGUUCUAACUAAAGCUUCAAACUCAAAGUCGAGGUCGAAGAACUAUGAAUCAAAGACGACGAUGGAAUACAUCGCCUUUGUCUACUACUCAUGGCAGGGCCUGGAGGGCAAGAUUUCAAUGAAGGAGGUAGAGGUUUAGAAGAAGGUACGAACUUACUUGGUUGGCUUCUUAACUUCUUCUCUACCGGUUGAAGCUUACCUUCUGAUCUAACUUGGCGAACUCUCGUCUCGUUCAACUCUGCUGGGAGAACACAGUUGCAAAGGAAACCUAUACAUUCAUCACAAGUACCAUCAUCAUCAAUAGUCUACAGAGAAAGAACCUAUAAAAUCCUACAAGAUGGUAAUAGGAGAACAGAUGAAAUUCAAACAGGAUGCGAGUAUAGUCCAUAUUUGAAAGAACCAUGUCCUCAUCACUGAAAUAGAGAUGUUGGAUGAACCUAAUGCAUUCACGUUAUCACAGUGAAUUCUAACCAACAUAAAAUUCCCAACAAGUUCCAGCUCUCUGAGCAAAGACAAGAUCAAGUACAGUACAUUUCAGGGUUAUCGUUUCAUACUUGACAAAACAUAUCAACGUGAAGACGUUGAAACUAGCAAGUGUUAUUAGUACGACCAAACAGAACAAACAUCGUUCAAGUUGUAAAAAACGUGAGAAACUAUGGCGACCAUGGCAGUCUUGGUACGAAUAUGCAAGAGAAUUAUUGGUUCCAACAGGCAGUGAAGAUGAUUUACAUGGCUGUCCUUUCAAAUUUGGUAGACCCACCAUGGCAUUCGACAAAGCUUGCACUGUAACAGGUUUGGUCAAAUGCCUCAGUGGGAAUGGUGGGUGGAAGCAGAUGCCUGAUGCCACUUCUUUCUUAUCUUCGAAAAGUUGUUUAAAGCAAAACAUAACUUAUCUUUCGUUUAUUGUUACUAUUAAUUUUCUUUUCUAUAUGCUACUUUACUUUAAAAUCAGAUAAUAAGCUAAACAGAGGAACUACAAAAAUGCCGCAAAACUUUCCUUUCAAUAUAUUUUCACAUACCGAUCUUCUGAAGAAACAAUGAGAUCAUGAAGUAAAGUUUAAGUUUAAAAGGAUAGAAGUGGAUUUCUUACCAAGUCUAGCAAGUCGAUUAACCCAGCUAGGAAUUGGUUUCCCUGUCAAUUGGAUACACACAUCAUUGCAGAAAUGAUUACAGUUCUUUGUGAUGAGAUGGUAAGUGUUCCCGGAGUAAUCUGUAGCGAGUUUCUCCAUAAACGAACGAACGUCUUUCGGACCUAAAUCGGUCCUUCCAAUUAAAAUAGAUUUCCUAAACGUGAAACCAGGACACUGCCUGGGCUCCACUUCGAAAAUUCCAGUCGCCGAAUGCUCAUGCGCUCCAAAACCAUAUUCAACUCCAUGAACUGCAUACAGCAAGAAUCAGCAUACUCAAAAUCAACUUGUACAAUAAUAUACAUGUAUACAUUUAUAUACAUACACACUAAAAUCAUGGAUGUAUAUUCUUAUUCCUUAUAUACAUAAAAAAUCAAUCUUUCAAGGGAAUUAACUUGACUAGUGUUAUUAAACCGUAAAAACAUUCAACAACAACCUUAAUUUGCAUAGAAAAAUUUUCAAAAAUUUCCCUUCAAUUUCCAGUCUUGUUGAUUACUAAAAAAAAAUUCCAUUACUUUUCCAGCAACACCCCAAAAAAGAAAACAAAAACUUGACUAAAUUCAAAGGAAAAUAAGAAAACAAACCUUGAACCCCAGAAUGAUAGAUCCCAAGGCCAAACCAAUAAGCAUAACCAUUAAUCGGAGUCAAGUCAUAUACAUUCAAAUAAACCGGAACCGAUCCAACUUUCUUCUUCCGGGGCAUCAACACCAUUGUGCACAGCAUUUUUUAGGCUAACUUUAAUAAAUAAAUAAAAAGAAGCCAGAUUUUUUUAC